GGUACAGGUCCUGUUGCCUGUGGGGAUUGCAGAGGAUGGCAGCUGUAGGAGUUGGAAGCUCUGUCCAAAACCAAACCUACUCCCAACAAUCCCAGCCCAGACCUCUCCUACAUCCAGUUCCAGAUGAACCUUAGAGCUUUACCACCACAUUCCUCUAUCCACCUUCCAGCUUAAACCAAAGCUUCAGCCCACAAUCAACAUUCCAGGCACCAGCCUUCCACCCUCAGCUGCACACCCUACAUGUUCUCUACUGAUUCCCCAGCACAGGCUGUGUUCUCUCCAUCUGCCACCAACCAAUUUUCAAGGUCAUUUUCUCCAGGAAGCAUUCAACAUCCACAGAAUCAGCCUUCCUCUAGCACUAUCUGAAUGUUUUUUUUAUCACCCCAGAACAGGAGCUCUCUUGAAGCAAGGCCUGCCUUAUCCCAUCACACUGGAUGUCAUCAACUCUCCUCUGCACACCCAGAGCAACUGCCUGAAUUUCAUUCUUUCAGACUCUUGAGAUCCCUUGGACCACCUGGAAUUUCCUCUACCACCACCUCCCUGAAAUCUCCCCAGGUUCCCAAAUAAAAUCCUCAUUGCCUUGUAUGCUCA